rnacentral:rRNA from 1 species
UACGGAGGGAGCUAGCGUUGUUCGGAAUUACUGGGCGUAAAGCGCACGUAGGCGGAUACUUAAGUUAGGGGUGAAAUCCCAGGGCUCAACCCUGGAACUGCCUUUAAUACUGGGUAUCCUGAGUUCGAGAGAGGUGAGUGGAAUUCCGAGUGUAGAGGUGAAAUUCGUAGAUAUUCGGAGGAACACCAGUGGCGAAGGCGGCUCACUGGCUCGAUACUGACGCUGAGGUGCGAAAGCGUGGGGAGCAAACAGG